UUCUCCUCCUGCGUGAGGAGGGCGUCACUCUGGAGUCAAGGACCUGAAAGGAGACGAUGGCCGGUUUACAAAGGUGCCUGGAACUCAGCCCACGGCAGCACAGCCCAGUACGGGUGACCCAGGGCCUCAAGCCCACAGGCCCCUAGACCACAGCCCAGCACCUGGGGUGACCCCUGAUGGACAUGCAGCUCCAAGUGAGACCACGUCCCCAGGUGCACGGAGUGUGGUCCCCGUUCCUGGAUGUCUCUGCCUCUGCUGAGACAUAGCCCGGGCAGCAGAAACAGCUGUGGGCUCGCACCGACCUGUGCCCCAGACCAGCCUUACACCCACGGGGGAGGCAGCUGAGCUCAGUUACCCACUCGAACAAGCUUCCCUGACCCUGUGUGAGAAGUGGGGCGUCCGGACAAGUCCUGCCUGUCCCCUGAGGGCUGCUAGGAUCAAGUGCCUCGAAGGCUCUGAAGAGGCUUCCAAGCCCCCAACUCAGCUUCGUGGGGAGUGAAGACCCCGCACUCAGGGCCCGCAGCUCAGCGCCCUGUGACCGCUGCCGAGUCCUGCGGGCGAUCAGACCGCUGAACACCGAACACACGUAAGGGUUAGGAUCAGAAAACUCAACAGAUGUCCAGCCUCACCCACCUCCCACGACAUAGCUGGGAUCCAAAAAGAAGCAGAAAGCACCUCUGAACGGUCAAAGUGAGUGCCGCGACGCCUUCCGCGCCGGCUCGCUCGGUUCCUUUCGCAGGGACCCCCGAGGCCCUCGCUCGGAGCCAACCCGCUUUCACUGAGCACAGGUCCCUGACAAACGGUAUAACUUGGGUCCAAUGUAAACAAACGCCAAACCCAAGAGGAAAUGCAUACGGUAAGCGUCUCUGCAAAUCUUACAUGUGAGAGCGUCGUGGUCGGAAAUCGGCCCGGACACACUCCCAAUACCCACUCAAGACCGAUAUUCUGUGAUUGCCAUAUUGUGGAUAGGACCCCCUGGUUACGAAGACACGGUGAGAUAAUACUCCCUUUGUUGCUGAGGAAGGCAGGGCCGCCGGGCUGGGGUGGCUCA